rnacentral:rRNA from 1 species
GAUGAACGCUAGCUACAGGCUUAACACAUGCAAGUCGCGGGGCAGCAUGGAUGUCCUUUCGGGGACAUCUGAUGGCGACCGGCGCACGGGUGAGUAACGCGUAUCCAACCUGCCCUUUACUAUGGGACAGCCCGUCGAAAGGCGGAUUAAUACCGUAUGUUGUCAUGUUGAUGCAUAUUUUCAUGACCAAAGGCUUCGGCCGGUAAAGGAUGGGGAUGCGUCUGAUUAGCUUGCCGGCGGGGUAACGGCCCACCGGGGCGACGAUCAGUAGGGGUUCUGAGAGGAAGGUCCCCCACAUUGGAACUGAGACACGGUCCAA